rnacentral:rRNA from 1 species
UAACGCGAAGAACCUUACCCAGGUCUUGACAUCCCAUUGACCACUGUAGAGAUACAGUUUUCCCUUCGGGGACAACGGUGACAGGUGGUGCAUGGUUGUCGUCAGCUCGUGUCGUGAGAUGUUGGGUUAAGUCCCGCAACGAGCGCAACCCUUAUUCUUAGUUGCCAUCAUUUAGUUGGGCACUCUAAGGAGACUGCCGGUGACAAACCGGAGGAAGGUGGGGAUGACGUCAAAUCAUCAUGCCCCUUAUGACCUGGGCUACACACGUGCUACAAUGGACGGUACAAACGGUUGCCAACCCGCGAGGGGGAGCUAAUCCGAUAAAACCGUUCUCAGUUCGGAUUGUAGGCUGCAACUCGCCUACAUGAAGCCGGAAUCGCUAGUAAUCGCGGAUCAGCAUGCCGCGGUGAAUACGUUCCCGGGCCUUGUACACACCG